rnacentral:sRNA from 1 species
CUGCCUAGUAUGGAGGAGGGGAUAAAAAGGUCUGCCUGCAGAGGGGAGGAGCUAAGGGCUGCCUGGUGUGGGGACAGCCCCUUCUGCUGUGACCUGGGUGGAUAUCUGGGCUUGCGAUGUGCCUUUUGGAUUCUCCCUGAGCUGCUUCCUAUUCCUUUGACACUGCAGCCCUUCUGGCCCCUGGGCACUGGAGUGGCACGGGGCUUCCUGGCAGCCUUUGAUGCAGCCUGGAUGGUGAAGCGGUGGGCAGAGGGUGCUGAGUCCCUAGAGGUGUUGGCUGAGCGUGAGAGCCUGUACCAGCUUCUGUCACAGACGUCCCCAGAAAACAUGCAUCGCAAUGUGGCCCAGUAUGGGCUGGACCCAGCCACCCGCUACCCCAACCUGAACCUCCGGGCAGUGACCCCCAAUCAGGUCAGACCCCUGACACACCCACCAGCCUUCCCAAGCCAACCCCCUUCCCCCAGGUCAGGCCUUCCCUGCCCAGUCGCUGCCCUUUGGGGUCAGUCCUACCCCCGGCAGGCCCUUACCCCUGGACUCAGGGGCUGUGUGGCCAGCCUGCCUUGAGACCUGAGCGGGGCUGCCUUAGGUACGAGACCUGUAUGAUGUGCUAGCCAAGGAGCCUGUGCAGAGGAACAACGACAAGACAGAUACAGGGAUGCCAGCCACCGGUGAGCAGUCCUUCCUCCCAAGGGGUGACCAAAAUAUGUACUACCCAGCGAGGCCCAGGUGGUCCCCGCAAAGCAGCUGCAGCCUCAGGACAGGAGCAGCGUGCCGGAGCACUCAUUGUUGGCUGGUGGGUUGGUUGGGGGCCUGCUGGAGGAACGGAGGGGCAGCACCGCACAGGCAGCAGUUGGCUGCCAGUCUGAAUGUAAGCGCAUUAGUGUUUGAACCACUGUUACAGCCAUAGUGGUGCGGGCAACCUCCCCUGCCCCCAGUUUAGUCUGCUGCCCUCUAUGUGGCCAGUUGCGAUUUCACUUUAUUCACUCCUCUACUUUAUUCCAAAGAGAUUUUUUUUUAAAGAGAAUUGGGAUGGAGGGCUGCUGAUAGUGAGCUUUAGGCUGGUGCCCUAGUAGAGGUGGGUCCCUGACUCCUCCUCCCCUACAGAACCCCCACAUGCAGCAGCUGGGCUCCCUAUAUGCCUGGGAUGGGCAGAGGGGGCCUUGGGCACAGCGCAGCCUUCUUUCCCAGGGUCAGCAGGCACCCAGGAGGAGCUGCUACGCUGGUGCCAGGAGCAGACAGCUGGGUACCCGGGAGUCCACGUCUCCGAUUUGUCUUCCUCCUGGGCUGAUGGGCUAGCUCUGUGUGCCCUGGUGCACCGGCUGCAGCCUGGCCUGCUGUGAGUCCCUGGCAGACCCACCUCUCUCUCAUGAUCUCAGUGUAGGAGUUAGCAUAUCCAGUUGAAUCCUAGAGACACUGUGCUUCCCUGCAUCUGCCGACAGUCUUGUGAGACUCUAAUGCAUUCAGAUAGUGGAGAGCUUUGUGAAUGGCACAGGCCCCCAAAGCCAGGAGUAGUGUCACUGGGUUGGGCACUGGGUAGCAGAGACUACACACCUACCUUCAAGCCUUCUUGUACCCCAGCUGCUGCUUGCUGUCCCUCCCCUCCUGCUGCCCUUCCUCCCCUCAGUGGGGCUAGGUUCUUGUCUCUAGUUGGCUUUUCUCCCUGACAUCCCACAGGGAACCCUCAGAGCUGCAGGGGCUGGGAGCUCUGGAAGCAACUGCUUGGGCACUAAAGGUGGCGGAGAAUGAGCUGGGCAUCACACCGGUGGUGUCUGCACAGGCCGUGGUAGCAGGGAGUGACCCACUGGGCCUCAUUGCCUACCUCAGCCACUUCCACAGUGCCUUCAAGAGCACGGCCCACAGCCCAGGUGACCUGAAGGAAAGGCGGGCAGGAUAACUGGGAUGGGGAGGUGUGUGUGUGUGUGUGUGACAGAGGGAGAAGGCGCCGUGUGUGUGUGUGUGUGAGACAGAGGGAGAAGGUGCCGUGUGUGUGUGUGUGUGUGUGUGUGUGUGUGUGUGUGUGUGUCAGAAAGAGGAAGAAGGCGCCCUCUGAGGGCCAGCCUGGGAGAGGUGUCCUUCUGGGUUGGAGAGUGACUGUCUGUCUGUUCUGGGAGUACAGUAUUGGCACCCCCCAUCCACACUGAUGCCCUGGCUCUCCCCACAGGCCCUGUCAGCCAGGCCUCCCCAGGGACCUCCAGUGCUGUAUUAUUCCUUAGUAAACUUCAGAGGACCCUGCAGCGAUCCCGGGCCAAGGUGGAGAGUUUAGGCAGGGCUGGAGCUGAGCAGGGAGGAGUGGGCAGGGGGUUACCCAGUGGAGAUCCUGGGGUGAUGGUGAAGACAUUCAGAAAGUGGGGAGGACUGGGAGCUCAAAACAUCACACUUAGAGCUGUUAGGACUUAUUGCAGGAAAAUGCAGAGGAUGCUGGUGGCAAGAAGCUGCGCUUGGAGGUGAAUGCAGGCAGGGGUGGGUCGGUCUCCUACCCCACAUUUUAUCCCCUUUCCCGGUACUGUCUUCCCUAUUUCUCAUCCCAUGUCUUGUUCCCCACCCCAGGUCCUAUAACCCCCCCAUCCAGCUUCCCUGCCUAGUCUCACUCCCCUUCCCUUCAGCCCCUUGUGUUCAUCUGUACGCAUCCCCUCCCAGCUGGCCCUGCCCCUCUACCCUCCCUGCCUGAGCACUUACCUCCUUAGAUGGAGGCCGAGACCCCAAGUACUGAGGUGCCACCUGACCCAGAGCCUGGUGUACCCCUGACACCCCCAUCCCAACACCAGGAGGUGAGAGCCAGGCUUCGUGUGCAGGCAGAAGCCUGGGGAGGGCAGGGCAGGGGCGUUUCAUGGGAGGGAAAGAAGUUUGGAGCUGGCCUUGGCUCCACCUGACCCUGUGUCCUGGGGGUCUACGCAGGCCGGUGCUGGGGACCUGUGUGCACUUUGUGGGGAACACCUCUAUGUCCUGGAACGCCUCUGUGUCAACGGCCAUUUCUUCCACCGGAGCUGCUUCCGCUGCCAUACCUGUGAGGCCACACUGUGGCCAGGUGGCUAUGAGCAGCACCCAGGAGAUGGACAUUUCUACUGCCUCCAGCACCUGCCCCAGCCAGACCACAAAGAGGAAGGCAGCGAUAGAGGCCCUGAGAGUCCGGUAAAGACUGAAGGCGUGUAUGUAUAUUGGGGCAUGGGAAGAGGAAGAGGGUCUCGUCAAACCAGCACUUUGCUGGGGGUAACUGACUGUCUUCUUCUACUAGCAUGUAAGCUCUGUGAAGGCAGGGAUGCCUGUCUGCUUACACUUCUUGUUCUCUCAAGUAUCUAAAACACAGCCAGACACUGUAAAUGGUUUUAAGCGAAUGAAUGCCAAGGCUCACCUUUGCUCCGAAGGGGUAGCCUCACCCCCCGACCUCACUCCACCCUGGGCAGGUCACUGACCAGACCACAUGGUGGCUUUUCCAGGAGCUCCCCACACCAAGUGAGAAUAGCAUGCCACCAGGCCUCUCAACUCCCACAGCCUCGCAGGAGGGGGCCAGUCCUGUUCCAGAUCCCAGCCAGCCCACCCGUCGGCAGAUCCGCCUCUCCAGCCCGGAGCGCCAGCGGUUGUCCUCCCUUAACCUUACCCCUGACCCGGAAAUGGAGCCUCCACCCAAGCCUCCCCGCAGCUGCUCCGCCUUGGCCCGCCACGCCCUGGAGAGCAGCUUUGUGGGUUGGGGCCUGCCAGUCCAGAGCCCUCAAGCUCUUGUGGCCAUGGAGAAGGAGGAAAAAGAGAGUCCCUUCUCCAGUGAAGAGGAAGAAGAAGAUGUGCCUUUGGACUCAGAUGUGGAACAGGCCCUGCAGACCUUUGCCAAGACCUCAGCCACCAUGAAUAACUACCCAACAUGGCGUCGGACUCUGCUGCGCCGUGCGAAGGAGGAGGAGAUGAAGAGGUUCUGCAAGGCCCAGACCAUCCAACGGCGACUAAAUGAGAUUGAGGCUGCCUUGAGGGAGCUAGAGGCCGAGGGCGUGAAGCUGGAGCUGGCCUUGAGGCGCCAGAGCAGUUCCCCAGAACAGCAAAAGAAACUAUGGGUAGGACAGCUGCUACAGCUCGUUGACAAGAAAAACAGCCUGGUGGCUGAGGAGGCCGAGCUCAUGAUCACGGUGCAGGAGUUGAAUCUGGAGGAGAAACAGUGGCAGCUGGACCAGGAGCUACGAGGCUACAUGAACCGGGAAGAAACUCUAAAGACAGCUGCUGAUCGGCAGGCUGAGGACCAGGUCCUGAGGAAGCUGGUGGAUUUGGUCAACCAGAGAGAUGCCCUCAUCCGCUUCCAGGAGGAGCGCAGGCUCAGCGAGCUGGCCUUGGGGACAGGGGCCCAGGGCUAGACAAGGGUGGGCUGUCUGCUUUCGUUCCCACAAAGAAACCACCUCACCCCAGCACAGUGCCACCCCUGUUCAUCUGGGCUGCCUGGCAGAGAGCCUUGCUGUUUACAAUUAAAAUGUUUCUGCCAC